CAUGAUAGAUAACCCAGAGAAGGAAUUUGUUAUGAAAAAGGGACUUUUCAUACAGGACAUUAGAAUGCAUCCCUUUCACAAGUGGGUGCUUUGUGGAGUCAAUGGCAUUUGUACAGAACUCAAUCCUUUGAUCUUUAUCCAGGGAGGAGCAGUUGGAAAGGCUUCUUUUACUGGCAUCUCAAGAUUUGCUCAGUAUUGGGGAAUACAUGAUGCCUCCCUGGACUCUUAUGGAUAUAGUAAUACCAGUGCAGAGAUCACUGGGUUUAAUAAAACUUUGGUAAACCAGAUUAAUUAUCCAUCUACCACAGUCUGUGUUUACCCCGCUUUCUUGUUUAUUCUUUCAAAUGAUUCAUUUGAAAUCUGUUCCAAUGAUAAUUGUUGGAUUUCUCAAUGUUGGGAUGUAACAAAGAACACCCGUGCCAUGGUGGCACGGAUCCCACGUUGGAUCCCUGUUCUGGUGGAUACACCCUCCAUCUUAUCUAUGUUUUGAAAAAAGAGAGAUUUUAUUUAAUAAAAUAAAAAGGGGAAGAUGUGGAGAGCAGAUACGUACUGCGAGCAAUCCU
rnacentral:lncRNA from 1 species